UUCCACAGGAUGCCAACAGCAAGCUAUCCUCUG
rnacentral:piRNA from 1 species